AGAAAUUGAAAGAGGAGGAGAGGAGGAGAGACCCACAGUUGAUCUCUGAGAAGUGAGUAGCUGGAGGCACCAGGAUACCAGCCAAGCCUAAAGGAUAAAGCAAAUCCCUGGACAUGGCUUUUGAUUCCAAGCUAAGAAGUGCAAGUAUUAACAGCAUCAGUCACAGUAGCUGAGUAUCUCCUGUGAGCUUCCAUAGGAAUUGAGCUUGUCUUUACAAGGUAAUCCUUCACCCUCCAACUCCAGCAUCAUGACCAGCUGUCUGAAUUGCUGGAAAAUGGCCCCUCAGUAAAACUAAGCUGAAGCCAAACCACAUCCUGAAGAUGAAACGCUUUUCUGGAGAAUCCACUGACACUUCAGAUAUAAGAGAAGCUCUUCCAAAUACAACUGCAACUGCCAAGAGAUUGAUGGACCAGAGAAUGGCCUCUUCAUUCCAGGCACUUCUAAAGUCCAAGUGGUCAAAUACCAGCCUCUUUUUACCAAUGUUCCCACCUGUUUCAUUCAGCCAAAUUUCAUUAGAUGAAGGAAGGUGGUGCAUUCUUGAGAUUGAGAAUACAGAUGAGAAGCAGGUUUGAAUGGUGAAGAAAUGAUGGACGCUGUUUGUCUCAAACAAGGACUCUAAUGAUACAACAGAACAAGUCACAAGAAAGCUUGCCUGGAAAACCAUACACUGGCCUCUUCGUGGUGAAGUCCUUCACAAUCCUUACAAACAUAGAAAAUAUUCAGCAAUUCGUUUGUUUGUUUUCCAGUCCACUCUUACUUGAGAAAAAUGCAAAACAUCAAAGACACAGAAAAACCACCAGUCUAUACAGCUUGCCCAUACUAAAUUGUUAUUCAUUUCAGAAGAGUGUACAGUUUCUUUCUGUAAGACUCUAUUAAACCAGUUACUCUACAAUAGCAAACAUUUUAGGCAAACCUAACCAUUGCUUCCCAUAAAGAUAUUUAUAUCUUUAAGUGGUAUCUGAUUCAUCCCUAAGAAAUAUGUUAUCAAGAUGUUUGUUUGUUUGUUUGUUUGUUCAUUUGUUUUUGAGAUGGAGUUUCACUCUUGUUGCCCAGGCUGGAGUGCAGUGGCAUGAUCUCGGUUCACUGCAACCUCUGCCUCCCGGUUCAAGCGAUUCUCCUGCCUCAGCCUCCCGAGUAGCUGGGAUUACUGGCACCCACCACCACUCCCAGCUAAUUUUUUGUAUUUUUAAUAGAGACGGGGUUUCACCAUGUUGGCCAGGCUGGUCUCAAACUCCUGACCUCAGGUGAUCCACUUGCCUCGACCUCCCAAAGUGCUGGGAUAACAGGCAUGAGCCAUUGCACCCGGCCGAAGAUUUUUGUUUUGACUGUUUUUUUCUGAACUACAGGGAAACGAAGGCUUUUAUGUUAUUGUCCCCCUUUUCUCACUAACUGGACUUCCUGUGACACGUGAAGACGCUAUGCAUGUUUAAUAAAUACACUUUGAAUUUAAUGCUCAAGGAAGAUAA
ensembl:lncRNA novel transcript